rnacentral:rRNA from 1 species
CCUACGGGGGGCAGCAGUGGGGAAUAUUGGACAAUGGGGGGAACCCUGAUCCAGCCAUGCCGCGUGUGUGAAGAAGGCCCUCGGGUUGUAAAGCACUUUCAGUGAGGAAGAACGCCUGGUGGUUAAUACCCAUCAGGAAAGACAUCACUCACAGAAGAAGCACCGGCUAACUCCGUGCCAGCAGCCGCGGUAAUACGGAGGGUGCGAGCGUUAAUCGGAAUUACUGGGCGUAAAGCGCGCGUAGGUGGCUUGAUAAGCCGGUUGUGAAAGCCCCGGGCUCAACCUGGGAACGGCAUCCGGAACUGUCAAGCUAGAGUGCAGGAGAGGAAGGUAGAAUUCCCGGUGUAGCGGUGAAAUGCGUAGAGAUCGGGAGGAAUACCAGUGGCGAAGGCGGCCUUCUGGACUGACACUGACACUGAGGUGCGAAAGCGUGGGUAGUAAACAGGAUUAGAUACCCCUGUAGUC